GGGUGACUGACCAUCCCAAUUUACCCAGGACAGAGGGGGUUCCCAGGGUCUGGGACCUUUUGAAACUGGAAAAUCCCAGGAAAACUGGGAGGAUUUGGUCACCCUACUUGGUCUCUCAUGAUGGAUCCCUGUUACCUUCACCAGGUUUAGCUGAUGGAGGUGUCCUGUGGCCCGGCACAGCCAAGGCUGACGUACUUGGACGUCAUCAAGGGGUGCGAGCUGAGAAGAGUCAACCCUGAAUGACAGAUGACCCAUCUGAGCCAGAUCUUGGGUUGGAGGGAAACUGACCUAAACUAGUCAUUUGUUAUACCUGCCUCUGACUCUACAAUCAGGAAGGAAAAGCCAAAGACAAGGAAAACUUGAGUGAACAUGCACAGCUUCUACUCUCUGUUCAAUGCAAUCACAAGAGAGAACUGAAGGUGCAAGGGGCGAUUCUCAAGUCAAUACAGUGACCUUGUGCCAGUCUGAGCCAUCUCCAAGGGACCCCUGCCUGCUACACCUGCCGACCAGCUUCACUUCUCUCAAGACGGCAUGGUUUCUCAGUAUCUGCAAGACUCCAACAACCACAGCCUCAGAAAAGAGACUCCUAACCCUGGGAACGAACAAGGGGUAGUGGAAGGAGAGGGGCAGAGGGAUGGGGUGACUGGGUGAUGGACACUGAGGGGGGCACUUGAUGGGAUGAGCACUGGGUGUUAUACUAUAUGUUGG
rnacentral:lncRNA from 1 species